rnacentral:misc_RNA from 1 species
AACGCACAUUGCGCCCUUUGGCAUUCCGAAGGGCAUGCCCGUUCGAGCGUCAUUUCACCAAUCAAGCCUGGCUUGGUGUUGGGCCCCGGGGUGACCCGGACCCCAAUGUCCGCCGGCCGGACGACCCGGACCUCAGCGUCAUGGCACUGUAAAGUUCCGCUGGAGGGGAAGGGUUGGCCGUGCCGUCAACAAAAUACUUUUACAAGGUUGACCUCGGAUCGGGUAGGGAUACCCGCUGAACUUAA